AAAUUUUUGGUUAAGAUAUUAAGGGCAUACGGUGGAUGCCUUGGCACGAGAAGGCUAUGAAGGACGUGACUACCAACGAUACGCUACGGGAAGGUGGAAGUAACCUAGGAUCCGUAGAUUUCCGAAUGGGACAACCCUGCUGGGGUAAUGCUCAGCAAUCCGCAUCUGAAUACAUAGGGUGUGCGAAGCCAACCCAGGGAACUGAAACAUCUAAGUACCUGGUGGAAGAGAAAAUAACAAUGAUUUCCUGAGUAGUGGCGAGCGAAAGGGAAAAAGCCUAAACUUUGCAACAUGUUAAAGGUCGUAACCGUUGUGUUGCAGGUGUUGUGGGACAUUUUCAGACUGAAUUACGAAUAAGUCGGGAAGUAAAAAAUUAUAAUAUUAGUCGAAUUUUCUGGAAAGUUAAACCAUAGAAGGUGAUAGUCCUUUAGACGAAAAUAUUAUAACUUCUUGGAGAAUGCACCCGAGUACCACGAAGUGAGUGGAAUUUUGUGGGAAUCUGCCAGAACCAUCUGGUAAGGCUAAAUACUCUCUCGUGACCGAUAGUGAAUAAGUACCGUGAGGGAAAGGUGAAAAGAACUCCUAACAGGAGAGUGAAAUAGUACCUGAAACCGUAUGCUUACAAGCAGUUGGAGUCCCGCUUGCGGGAUGACAGCGUGCCUUUUGGAUAAUGAGCCAACGAGUUGUUCGUAUGAUGCAAGGUUAAGACUCUUAGAGUCGAAGUCGUAGCGAAAGCGAGUCUGAAAUGGGCGAUUUAGUAUCAUGCGGCAGACGCGAAACUUUGUGAUCUACCCUUGUCCAGGAUGAAGUGAGGGUAAAACCUCAUGGAGGUCCGAACCAGUAUCGGUUGAAAACGAUUUGGAUGAGGUGAGGGUAGGGGUGAAAGGCCAAUCAAACUGAGAAAUAGCUCGUAUUCCUCGAAAUAGCUUUAGGGCUAGCCUCGGAUAAAAGUAUGCAGGAGGUAGAGCACUGAUUGGGCUAGGGCCCUCACAAGGGUACCAAACCCAGACAAACUCCGAAUUCCUGACAUAUGUUCUCCGGGAGUCAGGCAGUGGGGGAUAAGCUUCAUUGCCGAGAGGGGAACAACCCAGACCAUCGACUAAGGUCCCCAAACAGUAGUUAACAGAGAAAGGAUGUUGAGUUGCUUAGACAACUAGGAUGUUGGCUUAGAAGCAGCCAUGCAUUUAAAGAGUGCGUAAUAGCUCACUAGUCAAGCGACUUAGCGUCGACAAUUUGCGGGACUAAAACUACUUACCGAAGUCAUGGAUUUAUAAAAAUGGUAGAGGAACAUUCUAUGGGCGUUGAAGGUGUAUCGCGAGGUAUGCUGGAGCGCAUAGAAGUGCAAAUGUUGGCAUAAGUAACGAUAACUAAGAUGAAAAAUCUUAGCGCCGAAAGUCUAAGGUUUCCUGAGCAAUGUUAAUCAUCUCAGGGUUAGUCGGACCCUAAGCCGAGGCCGAGAGGCGUAGGCGAUGGAAAACAGGUUAAAAUUCCUGUACCUGGUAAAAUUUGUUUGACCAUAAGGAGGGACGCAGAAGUGAAAGAUCAGCCACCUGUCGGAUUAGGUGGUCUAAGUGUGUAGGCUUGAAGAGUAGGCAAAUCCGCUCUUCUUUAAGGCUGAGGCACGAACGGGAGUCCUUUGGACAUAAACUGAUCGUAACCAUGCUGCCUAGAAAAUCUUCGUAUGGGAGAGUUUUAUCAGUCCGUACCGCAAACCGACACAGGUAGACGGGAUGAGUAUUCUAAGGCGCUCGAGUGAGUCGUGGUUAAGGAACUCGGCAAAUUAGCUCCGUAACUUCGGGAAAAGGAGCGCCUCCGGUAAGUGAUACCCCUGCGGGUUGAGCUGAAAGAGGCCGCAGUGAAAAGGCCCAGGCGACUGUUUAACAAAAACACAUGUCUCUGCGAAGUCAAUCAAGACGAUGUAUAGGGACUGACACCUGCCCGGUGCUGGAAGGUUAAGAGGAGAGGUUAGUCGUAAGGCGAAGCUUUGAAUCGAAGCCCCAGUAAACGGCGGCCGUAACUAUAACGGUCCUAAGGUAGCGAAAUUCCUUGUCGGGUAAGUUCCG
rnacentral:rRNA from 1 species